rnacentral:rRNA from 1 species
GAUGAACGCUGGCGGCGUGCCUAAUACAUGCAAGUCGAGCGAACAGACGAGGAGCUUGCUCCUCUGACGUUAGCGGCGGACGGGUGAGUAACACGUGGAUAACCUACCUAUAAGACUGGGAUAACUUCGGGAAACCGGAGCUAAUACCGGAUAAUAUAUUGAACCGCAUGGUUCAAUAGUGAAAGACGGUUUUGCUGUCACUUAUAGAUGGAUCCGCGCCGCAUUAGCUAGUUGGUAAGGUAACGGCUUACCAAGGCGACGAUGCGUAGCCGACCUGAGAGGGUGAUCGGCCACACUGGAACUGAGACACGGUCCAGACUCCUACGGGAGGCAGCAGUAGGGAAUCUUCCGCAAUGGGCGAAAGCCUGACGGAGCAACGCCGCGUGAGUGAUGAAGGUCUUCGGAUCGUAAAACUCUGUUAUUAGGGAAGAACAAAUGUGUAAGUAACUAUGCAGGUCUUGACGGUACCUAAUCAGAAAGCUACGGCUAACUACGUG